rnacentral:rRNA from 1 species
UACGUAGGGUGCGAGCGUUGUCCGGAAUUAUUGGGCGUAAAGAGCUUGUAGGCGGUUUGUCGCGUCUGCUGUGAAAAUCCGGGGCUCAACCCCGGACUUGCAGUGGGUACGGGCAGACUAGAGUGUGGUAGGGGAGACUGGAAUUCCUGGUGUAGCGGUGAAAUGCGCAGAUAUCAGGAGGAACACCGAUGGCGAAGGCAGGUCUCUGGGCCACUACUGACGCUGAGAAGCGAAAGCAUGGAGAGCGAACAGGAUUAGAUA